GAUGAACGCUGGCGGCGUGCCUAAUACAUGCAAGUCGAGCGAACGGACGAGAAGCUUGCUUCUCUGAUGUUAGCGGCGGACGGGUGAGUAACACGUGGAUAACCUACCUAUAAGACUGGGAUAACUUCGGGAAACCGGAGCUAAUACCGGAUAAUAUUUUGAACCGCAUGGUUCAAAAGUGAAAGACGGUCUUGCUGUCACUUAUAGAUGGAUCCGCUCUGCAUUAGCUAGUUGGUAAGGUAACGGCUUACCAAGGCAACGAUGCAUAGCCGACCUGAGAGGGUGAUCGGCCACACUGGAACUGAGACACGGUCCAGACUCCUACGGGAGGCAGCAGUAGGGAAUCUUCCGCAAUGGGCGAAAGCCUGACGGAGCAACGCCGCGUGAGUGAUGAAGGUCUUCGGAUCGUAAAACUCUGUUAUUAGGGAAGAACAUAUGUGUAAGUAACUGUGCACAUCUUGACGGUACCUAACCAGAAAGCCACGGCUAACUACGUG
rnacentral:rRNA from 1 species